rnacentral:rRNA from 1 species
UACGAAGGGGGCUAGCGUUGCUCGGAAUCACUGGGCGUAAAGGGCGCGUAGGCGGCCAUUCAAGUCAGGGGUGAAAGCCUGUGGCUCAACCACAGAAUUGCCUUUGAUACUGUUUGGCUAGAGACCGGAAGAGGUAAGUGGAACUGCGAGUGUAGAGGUGAAAUUCGUAGAUAUUCGCAAGAACACCAGUGGCGAAGGCGGCUUACUGGUCCGGUUCUGACGCUGAGGCCCGAAAGCGUGGGGAGCAAACAGG